ACUCCUGCGGGAGGCAGCAGUGGGGAAUUUUGGACAAUGGGCGCAAGCCUGAUCCAGCCAUGCCGCGUGCGGGAAGAAGGCCUUCGGGUUGUAAACCGCUUUUGUCAGGGAAGAAAAGGUUCUGGCUAAUACCUGGGACUCAUGACGGUACCUGAAGAAUAAGCACCGGCUAACUACGUGCCAGCAGCCGCGGUAAUACGUAGGGUGCAAGCGUUAAUCGGAAUUACUGGGCGUAAAGCGUGCGCAGGCGGUUAUGCAAGACAGAGGUGAAAUCCCCGGGCUCAACCUGGGAACUGCCUUUGUGACUGCAUGGCUAGAGUACGGUAGAGGGGGAUGGAAUUCCGCGUGUAGCAGUGAAAUGCGUAGAUAUGCGGAGGAACACCGAUGGCGAAGGCAAUCCCCUGGACCUGUACUGACGCUCAUGCACGAAAGCGUGGGGAGCAAACAGGAUUAGAUACCCCAGUAGUCCC
rnacentral:rRNA from 1 species